GACGAACGCUGCCGGCGUGCUUAACCCAUGCAAGUCGAAGGGAGUGGCGAACGGGUGAGUAACACGUGAGUAACCUGCCCUUUUCUUUGGGAUAAGCCUGGGACACUGGGUCUAAUACUGGAUGGUUUGGGCUGGGCCCGCGGCUUAUCAGCUUGUUGGUGGGGUGAUGGCUUACCAAGGCUUUGACGGGUAGCCGGCCUGAGAGGGUGGUCGGUAACACAGGGACUGGGGUACGGCCCAGACUCCUACGGGAGGCAGCAGUGGGAGAUAUGGCACAAUGGGCGAAAGACUGUUGCAGCGACGUCGUGUGGGGGAUGAAGGCCUUCGGGUUGUAAACUCCUUUCGCCCGCGGAAUGGUAGUGGGUAAAGAAGCGCCGGCUAACUACGUGCCAGCCGCCGCGGUAAUUC
rnacentral:rRNA from 1 species